GGGGUUGUGGUCUAGCUUGGUUUGGUAGAUUGGAUAAAAUCUAACCCUAGAUUGGUAUGAUCCCUGCCUGGGGCGCAGGGGAUCCUGAGUUCAAAUCUCAGCAACCCCA
rnacentral:tRNA from 1 species